rnacentral:misc_RNA from 1 species
AAAGUGCGAAAAGUGUCAUGACUUGCAGAUUCCCGAGAGCUGACAAAUCUCUGAAUGCAAAUGGCAGUCGCGUUAGACCCGACUAUGUAUUGUAGAGUGUAGAUGCUCCAGCUAUUCAUCAUCUUUUUCUUCACAUCUCUUUCAACAGAGAGAGAGAAGGAACAAGAUGGAUCUGCGCUUGCGAGAUGCACCUCUGUGUGUUGUUGAGCGAGUGUUAAAAGCAAAGGUCUACGUCAUACCGAAUCCUUCACAGGAAUAAGGCAGACGUGUGCACCGAUGGAACUCUUUAAUUCUCAUUGAAGAAGAAAAUCGAGUGCUCCGACAAGACCUCACAAACAACCCAAUAUCUAAAUGAGCCACCUCUACAAUGCAUGAAAACCCGCUGAACUUAA